rnacentral:rRNA from 1 species
UAGGGAAUCUUCGGCAAUGGACGAAAGUCUGACCGAGCAACGCCGCGUGAGUGAAGAAGGUUUUCGGAUCGUAAAACUCUGUUGUUAGAGAAGAACAAGGACGUUAGUAACUGAACGUCCCCUGACGGUAUCUAACCAGAAAGCCACGGCUAACUACGUGCCAGCAGCCGCGGUAAUACGUAGGUGGCAAGCGUUGUCCGGAUUUAUUGGGCGUAAAGCGAGCGCAGGCGGUUUCUUAAGUCUGAUGUGAAAGCCCCCGGCUCAACCGGGGAGGGUCAUUGGAAACUAGGAGACUUGAGUGCAGAAGAGGAGAGUGGAAUUCCAUGUGUAGCGGUGAAAUGCGUAGAUAUAUGGAGGAAAACCAGUGGCGAAGGCGGCUCUCUGGUCUGUAACUAACGCUGAGGCUCGAAAGCGUGGGGAGCAAACAGG